GGGGAUAAUCCAUCGCAGCCACAGGUCACUCUAAGGGAGAAACUCCUUAUGGAUGCCGGUGCAAUAGCUGGGUUCUUGACGGGACUUCGUGUGUAUCUUGAUGACCCUGCUAAAGUAAAGCGUCUACUCCUUCCUACUAAUAUAUCUGGUUGUAGUGAUGGAAAGAAGGUAAAUAAGAAUGACAAAUCCUCCCCCAGCUUGAUGAACUUGCUGAUGGGGGUAAAAGUGUUGCAGCAAGCAAUCGUUGAUCUACUGUUGGAUAUUAUGGUUGAAUGUUGCCAACCCUCCGAGGGAAGUUCGAGUAGUGGGUCAUCUGAAGUGAAUCCUAAAACUUUUCCAAAUGGAAAUGGAGCAGGUAGUCAAUUGGGGUCUGAUAGAGCUAAUGGUGCAAAUGAACCUUUGCAACUUUACACCCAUGAUAGACUGGAUACGGUGACGGAUGAGAGCAUGAACUCAUCUGCUGUUCAGAGCUCAGAUAUUGAUGGGAUUAAUGCACAUGAAAGGGCAUUCAACGGGAAACCUAUGCAUCCGCAUCCGCCAGAAACAUCUGCUGGCGGUUCCUCUGAAAAUCCUUCCCUUCGUACUAAGACCAAAUGGCCAGAGCAGUCUGAGGAGCUUCUUGGACUGAUAGUGAACUCCCUAAGAGCACUUGAUGGAGCUGUUCCACAAGGUUGUCCUGAGCCGAGGAGGAGGCCACAGUCAGCCGAAAAGAUAGCCCUUGUAUUGGAUAAAGCUCCGAAGCAUCUACAGCCGGACCUAGUUGCUUUGGUUCCAAAAUUGGUUGAGCAUUCAGAACAUCCACUUGCUGCUUAUGCGCUUCUAGAACGACUUCAGAAGCCAGAUGCUGAACCUGCAUUAAUGAUUCCAGUCUUUGGUGCACUCGGGCAGUUGGAGUGUAGCAGUGAUGUGUGGGAACGUGUCCUUUUCCAGUCAUUUGAUCUUUUAGUGGAUUCCAUUGAUGAACCUCUUGCUGCAACUGUUGACUUCAUAUUCAAGGCUGCACUGCAUUGUCAUCAUCUUCCAGAAGCAGUCAGAGCUGUACGUAUCCGGCUGAAAAAACUAGGCAAUGAAGUCUCCCCAUGUGUUCUUGAUUAUUUGAGCCGAACUGUAAAUAGCUGUUCAGAUGUUGCUAAAGCUAUUCUAAGAGAUAUUGACUGCGAGAAUAAGUCUGGUGAUAAUUGCUCGGCUGUACCAUGUGGGAUUUUCUUAUU
rnacentral:misc_RNA from 1 species